rnacentral:rRNA from 1 species
UACGGGGGGGGCAAGCGUUGUUCGGAAUUACUGGGCGUAAAGGGCUCGUAGGUGGCCAACUAAGUCGGACGUGAAAUCCCUCGGCUUAACCGGGGAACUGCGUCCGAUACUGGUUGGCUUGAGUUUGGGAGAGGGAUGCGGAAUUCCAGGUGUAGCGGUGAAAUGCGUAGAGAUGUGGAGGAACACCGAUGGCGAAGGCAGCCUCCUGGGCCAACACUGACGCUCAUGCACGAAAGCGUGGGGAGCAAACAGG